rnacentral:rRNA from 1 species
CCUACGGGAGGCAGCAGUCGAGAAUCAUUCACAAUGGGGGAAACCCUGAUGGUGCGACGCCGCGUGGGGGAAUGAAGGUCUUCGGAUUGUAAACCCCUGUCAUGUGGGAGCAAAUUAAAAAGAUAGUACCACAAGAGGAAGAGACGGCUAACUCUGUGCCAGCAGCCGCGGUAAUACGGAGGUCUCAAGCGUUGUUCGGAAUCACUGGGCGUAAAGCGUGCGUAGGCUGUUUCGUAAGUCGUGUGUGAAAGGCGCGGGCUCAACCCGCGGACGGCACAUGAUACUGGGAGACUAGAGUAAGGGAGAGGGAAGCGGAAUUCUCGGUGUAGCAGUGAAAUGCGUAGAUAUCGAGAGGAACACUCGUGGCGAAGGCGGGUUCCUGGACAUUAACUGACGCUGAGGCGCGAAGGCGAGGGGAGCGAAAGGGAUUAGAUACCCGGGUAGUC